GGCGAGAUGGCCGAGCGGUCUAAGGCGCCAGACUAAGGCCAAAGCAGCUGCUGCUUACCUAAUAUAUCUGGUCUUUCGAGGCGUGGGUUCGAAUCCCACUCUCGUCA